GAACGCUGGCGGCGUGCCUAAUACAUGCAAGUCGAACGGUCUUUCUAUGGAAGCUUGCUUCCACUGAGAAGAUAGUGGCGAACGGGUGAGUAACACGUGGGUAACCUGCCCAUAAGAGGGGGAUAACAUCCGGAAACGGGUGCUAAUACCGCAUAGUUUUCUUGAUCGCAUGAUCGGGAAAGGAAAGACGGCCUUUGUGCUGUCGCUUAUGGAUGGACCCGCGGCGUAUUAGUUAGUUGGUGAGGUAACGGCUCACCAAGACGAUGAUACGUAGCCGACCUGAGAGGGUGAUCGGCCACAUUGGGACUGAGACACGGCCCAAACUCCUACGGGAGGCAGCAGUAGGGAAUCUUCCGCAAUGGACGAAAGUCUGACGGAGCAACGCCGCGUGAGUGAAAGAAGGUUUUCGGAUCGUAAAACUCUGUUGUCAGAGAAGAACAAGUUGGAGAGUAACUGCUCCAGCCUUGACGGUAUCUGACCAGAAAGCCACGGCUAACUACGUGCCAGCCGCCGC
rnacentral:rRNA from 1 species